rnacentral:lncRNA from 1 species
GCUCCAUUCGCAUUGCUGCUGCAAAGAACAUGUUUUUUUGUUUGUUUGUUUUUUUUUUUUAGAUGGAGUCUCACUCUGUCACCCAGGCUGCCGUGCAGUGGCACCAUCUCUGGUCACUGCAACCUCCGCCUCCCAGGUUCAAGCGAUUCUCCCACCUCAGCCUCCCAAGUAGCUGGGAUUAUAGGAAUGUGCCACCAUGUCCAGCUAUUUUUUUGUAUUUUUAGUAGAGAUGGGGUUUCGCCAUGUUAGCCAGGAUGAUGUCAAUCUCUUGAACUCGUGAUCUGCCCACCUCAGCCUCCCAAAGUGCUGGGAUUACAGUCAUGAGCCAUGGCACCUGGUCUAAUUCUGGGGUUUUUUUCAUGGUUGCAUAGUAUUCCAUGGUGUCUGUGUACCACAUCUUCUUUAUCCAAUCUACUAUUUGUGGGCCAUCCCGUCACCCUUAGGCAGUAGACACAUUUUUUUUUUUUUUUUUUUCAGAUGGAGUUUCACUCCUAUUGCCCAGGCGGGAGUGCAAUGGCACGAUCUCAGCUUACUGCAACCUCCGCCUCCCGGGUUCAAGCGAUUCUCCUGCCUCAGCUUCUCUGGAGUAGCUGGGAUUACAGGCAUGUGCCACCACGGGCGGCUAAUUUUGUAUUUUUAGUAGAGACGGUGUUUCUCCAUGUUGGUCAGGCUGGUCUCGAACUCCCGACCUCAGGUGAUCUGCCCACCUUGGCCUCCCAAAGUGCUGGGAUUACAGGCGUGAGCUGCCGCGCCCGGCCAGUAGGCACUAUUAAGCC